rnacentral:rRNA from 1 species
GACGUAGGGGGCCAGCGUUGUUCGGAAUUACUGGGCGUAAAGGGCGCGUAGGCGGCCUUCUAAGUCAGACGUGAAAUCCCCCGGCUUAACCUGGGAACUGCGUCUGAUACUGGGAGGCUUGAGUAUGGGAGAGGGAUGUAGAAUUCCAGGUGUAGCGGUGAAAUGCGUAGAUAUCUGGAGGAAUACCGGUGGCGAAGGCGGCAUCCUGGACCAUAACUGACGCUGAGGCGCGAAAGCUAGGGGAGCAAACGGG